GACGGAGCACGCCGCGUGAGUGAUGAAGGUUUUCGGAUCGUAAAGCUCUGUUGUUAGGGAAGAACAAGUGCCGUUCAAAUAGGGCGGCACCUUGACGGUACCUAACCAGAAAGCCACGGCUAACUACGUGCCAGCAGCCGCGGUAAUACGUAGGUGGCAAGCGUUGUCCGGAAUUAUUGGGCGUAAAGGGCUCGCAGGCGGUUUCUUAAGUCUGAUGUGAAAGCCCCCGGCUCAACCGGGGAGGGUCAUUGGAAACUGGGGAACUUGAGUGCAGAAGAGGAGAGUGGAAUUCCACGUGUAGCGGUGAAAUGCGUAGAGAUGUGGAGGAACACCAGUGGCGAAGGCGACUCUCUGGUCUGUAACUGACGCUGAGGAGCGAAAGCGUGGGGAGCGAACAGGAUUAGAUACCCUGGUAGUCCACGCCGUAAACGAUGAGUGCUAAGUGUUAGGGGGUUUCCGCCCCUUAGUGCUGCAGCUAACGCAUUAAGCACUCCGCCGGGGGAGGAA
rnacentral:rRNA from 1 species